rnacentral:rRNA from 1 species
UACGUAGGGUGCGAGCGUUAAUCGGAAUUACUGGGCGUAAAGCGUGCGCAGGCGGUUUGUUAAGUCCGCUGUGAAAGCCCCGGGCUCAACCUGGGAAUGGCAGUGGAAACUAGCGAGCUAGAGUGUGGCAGAGGGGGGUGGAAUUCCAGGUGUAGCGGUGAAAUGCGUAGAGAUCUGGAGGAAUACCGGUGGCGAAGGCGGCCCCCUGGACAAAGACUGACGCUCAGGUGCGAAAGCGUGGGGAGCAAACAGG